ensembl:lincRNA D630029K05Rik RIKEN cDNA D630029K05 gene
CCCUCAAGUAGGGGAACACUUCUGGCAGCUUGUGUAGUUUUUCCAGUCAGUAGCUCUAACCAUGUCAGCAAUUAUCCUCUUCAGCAGCCGUCUGUGUAGACAACACAUUGAAGGAAGGUUCUAGAAACCUAGCAUAUACAAGACAGCCAAACAGGAGCAUGCAAAGCCAGGUUCUUGGUUAAAAAAAAAAAAAAGUAUCCGUGUGUAUAAAUGUAUGGUACUCCAUACGGAAGAAGUCCUGAGAAGUUGUGUGAUGAAAUUUCACUUGCAUGAUAAAGCUAAGGAAACUGCACAAGGAAAGCCCCGUAGAGCAGCGGAGUGUGGAAUGCGCUCAGGUGGAAGCUGCCUGAUUAUCAGGACGUCUUACUCCAGGGGGAUGCUCAAGAUGGACUCCUUGUGCCUUGCAAGACUCUGCUCUUUUUAACAUUGUAAAAUAACACCUGCUCACUAAGGAAACUUU